UGGGGAAUAUUGCACAAUGGAGGGAACUCUGAUGCAGCGACGCCGCGUGAACGAAGAAGGCUUUCGAGUCGUAAAGUUCUUUUAUAUGGGAAGAUAAUGACGGUACCAUAAGAAAAAUCCCCGGCUAACUACGUGCCAGCAGCCGCGGUAAUACGUAGGGGGCUAGCGUUGUCCGGAAUCACUGGGCGUAAAGGGUUCGCAGGCGGAAAUGCAAGUCAGGUGUAAAAGGCAGUAGCUUAACUACUGUAAGCAUUUGAUGCUGCAUAUCUUGAUAAGAGUAGAGGUAAGUGGAGUUUUUAGUGUAGCGGUGAAGUGCGUAGAUAUUAAAAAGAAUACCGGUGGCGAAGGCGGCUUACUGCGCUCAUUCUGACGCUGAGGAACGAAAGCGUGGGUAGCAAACAGG
rnacentral:rRNA from 1 species